rnacentral:rRNA from 1 species
GCAACUCGCCUACAUGAAGUUGGAAUCGCUAGUAAUCGCGAAUCAGAAUGUCGCGGUGAAUAGUUCCCGGGUCUUGUACACACCGCCCGUCACACCACGAGAGUUUACAACACCCGAAGUCAGUGGCCUAACCGUAAGGAGGGAGCUGCCUAAGGUGGGGUAGAUGAUUGGGGUGAAGUCGUAACAAGGUAAC